GGGAAACCACUGGAUUUAUUAAUGAGAAAAUGAAGGCUUGUGUUUAAGCCUCGUCUCUGAGCCCAUGGAACAGACUUACGGCGUAUGACCUCAUCGGAGACUUGUACAUGGGGCCAACCCCCAUUUUCCCACAGGAAACCCACACUCUAAUUAAGGGCUGACCCUGAACUUGAAUCUGAGUCUUCUCUUUCUUCAACAGAGAGCCAUCUCUCCAGCCCAGCUGGCAAGGAGACAGGUGAUGUUACAGGAAAAAAUACACAGCUUGUGCCCUUGGAAUUACCAGAGUUCAAAGCCUGUUCAGCAUCUACCCACCAUGUGACCCGGGUCGAAUUCUUCAGUUUCUCUAAGCCCAUUUUCUCAUCUGUAAGAUGGGGAAGUGUAAUCAGUUCUGAACCCACAUAUACCUCACUGGGCUUGAACAGGCCUGAGCAGGCAUGUGGGGCUUUACUAGCUAGCCAUCCUUUCUGCCGCUCUCCCUCAUUCUCCUUCAAGCCCCCCAAAGUCCUUGGUGGAGGAGGAAGUGGAGACAGAACGUUUGGUGUUGGGUGAGGUACGUGAGGAGGCUGAUUUCAGAACCUCCAGGAAACAAAGCUUUAGUGUUCCGAGGGCAGUGCCCGCCUGUGCCUCCUCCUCACAGGGGGUAGUAGGAGUGGGGUGGGGCCGAGGCAUUUCCCAGCACAGCUCAAUCACAUCUCCUGCGCCUGCCCUUGUGACCUGCUCACUGGAAAGGAAGAAAUGACCGAGGGAGAAGGGAGGGCAUUUGAGGGGAGAAGAAGAGGAUGGAGAAAAAAACUGGAUCAUCUCGUGACAUGGAAAGAAAGGUCUGAGCUCUGACGAUCCCCUCACGUGAUUAUAGGCAUGAGGACUCACUCUUCGAAUUGUUUGAAAAUUGAAUGGACUGGCUCACACCUUCUGAAAUUUCUUGGAAGCUCUGGAGUAACUAUUCCACUAAAGAACAGCGUGUUUUUGGCUGAAAUCUGUGACUGUUUGUUUUUGAGUUAUUUUAAUCUCUGUGUCAAGCAUGAAAACCUCAGCAGCCUGGGAUUUAUAAUUAGAUCCCACUGGCAUGCCCUCUCACCUCUCAAACAUGCCACAGUGCUUUGGCUCUCUCCUUGUGCAAACCUCCCUUUGAUAUUUUUGGAUAUCGAUACCAAGUGUAUCUGCAUAUUUUAACCAACUGAUAUGCAUAUCCUGUGAUCUGAGGCAUUCGCUCAAUGUGGGGCAUCAGGCCAGCUGUGAACUUCCUUUAAAAUUUAUUUUGUGUCAAAUGAUUCCCUAAUGCUAUAGCUCCCUUGAACUGCUAGAUUUAUGAAAAUUCUGCACAACACAUAGCUCAGAGAAAAAAAAAAAA
rnacentral:lncRNA from 1 species